CAUGCGGCUCCUCACAGAGCACUUGUCGUAAUAACCAUAAAAGUAAAUAGCAUUUACACAUUACAUUAGACAGAUUCUUAUGUAAAUUGUACUCACAUCGCACGCAGAGUGAUGGGGGAAACUUUUUCACUAAAUAAAAUCAGUUUAGUUAAAGAAACCCAUUUUUACAUAUUUUUAGGCAUUUCAUUUACAGGUUGGGCAUUAUUGCCAUAAAAUAAACUUUCGUCAGUGGCAUGACAUGUAAACAAGUCUACAAAUCGUACCUUCAGCCAAGGCCUGAAAUACAAUUGUUCAUACAUAAUUUCAAGGAGAAUGAAGUAUUUAUGGACAUUUUGUUUUGAAUACAGAUGAAAAACAACGGUGAAAAAAUAUUCAAUGAAGAGACGGAUACAAUGAGAAAGAGGACUUUCACUUUUUCAAGAAUGGCCAAUCUUUUGACGUUGUAAUCACAUGCCAUCCAAAAUUCUUCAAAGUUAACAAGUAAAUUAAAACAAUUUUGCGUGUGACAUUCGACGCGAAUAAAUAUAAAUCUUUCGUC